CAGCCGCCGCGGGAAUACAGAGGGUGCGAGCGUUAAUCGGAUUUACUGGGCGUAAAGCGUGCGUAGGCGGCUUUUUAAGUCGGAUGUGAAAUCCCUGAGCCUAACUUAGGAAUUGCAUUCGAUACUGGGAAGCUAGAGUAUGGGAGAGGAUGGUAGAAUUCCAGGUGUAGCGGUGAAAUGCGUAGAGAUCUGGAGGAAUACCGAUGGCGAAGGCAGCCAUCUGGCCUAAUACUGACGCUGAGGUACGAAAGCAUGGGGAGCAAACAGGAUUAGAUACCCCAGUAGUCCCUGUCUCUUAUAA
rnacentral:rRNA from 1 species